rnacentral:rRNA from 1 species
GUGCCAGCAGCCGCGGUAAUACGAAGGGUGCAAGCGUUAUUCGGAUUUACUGGGCGUAAAGCGCGCGCAGGCGGAUAGGUAAGCCAGAUGUGAAAUCUCGGGGCUCAACCUCGAAACUGCGUCUGAAACUAUCUAUCUAGAGUAUUGGAGGGGGAAGUGGAAUUUCACAUGUAGGGGUAAAAUCCGUAGAGAUGCGAAGGAACACCAGAGGCGAAGGCGACUUCCUGGCCAAUUACUGACGCUGAGGCGCGAAAGCGUGGGGAGCAAACAGGAUUAGAAACCCAGUAGUCC